CUUUCGGAGCUGUGCGGCAUUCUGAGCAGGAAUGGCAGUGUGGACCUCUGUGAUGGGACAUCUUGUGGGAUCUCACAGCCAGGUGCUAGAAUAGAAGACCAGAAAAUGAAAUGGUGGAGUUUGAGGCUGGAUAGACAGUUUGAAAGGUACAAAUAAUGGUUUGAAUAAAGAAAGGUAUUAAUGGGUCACCUCAAGUGAAGGCACUGCAAACACAAUGAUUGGUCAUUCUGAAUUUCCGGUCCUUCAUUCUGAAUUUCAAAGGCUCCUGUGACAAGUGGACAUGCAGUGACUGCACCUUUGUUUCUGAGGUGCCUGGAUGGAGGCUCAAAUAGAAGAUGGUGUCAGAUAUAUUGUGUUAAAAUUUUACCAUUAAAGUGUAUUAUAACAUGAA
rnacentral:lncRNA from 1 species